GACGAACGCUGGCGGCGUGCUUAACACAUGCAAGUCGAACGGAAAGGCCUGCUUUCCCUUGUGGAUUGCGGGUACUCGAGUGGCGAACGGGUGAGUAACACGUGAGUGAUCUGCCCCCAACUUGGGUAUAAGCCUGGGAAACUGGGUCUAAUUCCCGAUAGGACUGCAGGGUGGUGCCUGUGGUGGAAAACGAUUUUCUAGUGGUUGGGGAUGAGCUCGCGGCCUAUCAGCUUGUUGGUGGGGUAAUGGCCUACCAAGGCGGCGACGGGUAGCCGGCCUGAGAGGGUGGACGGCCACAUUGGGACUGAGAUACGGCCCAGACGCCUACGGGAGGCAGCAGUGGGGAAUAUUGCACAAUGGGCGGAAGCCUGAUGCAGCGACGCCGCGUGGGGGAUGACGGCCUUCGGGUCGUAAACUCCUUUCGACCGCGAGGAAGCCACCUGGUUGGAAGGGUGGUGACGGUAGUGGUAGAAGAAGCACCGGCUAACUACGUG
rnacentral:rRNA from 1 species